GCAGUGCUCCGGUCUGCCGCUGGUGGCAACACGAGAGGAAAGUCCGGGCAGCACAGGACACCCCACUUGCGAAAGUACAAGCAGUCGGCGACGGCUGGAUAUGGGAGAAGAGAAUGACCGCCUUAUAUUAAUAAGGUAAGGGUGAGAAGGUGGUGUAAGAGACCACCAGCCGGCUGGUGACAGUCGGGCUGUUCCAUCUGGGGGCUGCAAGUUCAUGUAAACCAUCGUCUGAGGGCGGUCCGUCCGAGGGCUUCGGCACACGGUGGAGGGUAGAAUGCUUCAGCCGUGGGGUGACUCACGGAGUAGAUAAAUGGCAGACACCAGCUUCGGUUGGUACAGAACCCGGCUUAUAGGAGCAGUGCUUUU
rnacentral:RNase_P_RNA from 1 species